AUUGAACGCUGGCGGCAGGCCUAACACAUGCAAGUCGAACGAGUGGCGGACGGGUGAGUAAUGUCUGGGAAACUGCCCGAUGGAGGGGGAUAACUACUGGAAACGGUAGCUAAUACCGCAUACCUUCGGAAGUGCUCAGAUGGGGUUAGCUAGUAGGUGGGGUAACGGCACACCUAGGCGACGAACCCUAGCUGGUCUGAGAGGAGGACAAGGCACACUAGAACGGAGACACGGUCCAGACUCCAACGGGAGGCAGCAGUGGGGAGUAUUGCACAAUGGGCGCAAGCCUGAUGCAGCCAUGCCGCGUGUAUGAAGAAGGCCUUCGGGUUGUAAAGGACUUCCGGCUAGGAGGCGGUACUCGCAGAAGAAGCACCGGCUAACUCCGUGCCAGCAGCCGCGGUAAUUC
rnacentral:rRNA from 1 species